UACGAAGGGGGCUAGCGUUGCUCGGAAUUACUGGGCGUAAAGGGAGCGUAGGCGGAUAGUUUAGUGAGAGGUGAAAGCCCAGGGCUCAACCUUGGAACUGCCUUUCAUACUGGCUAUCUUGAGUACGGGAGAGGUGAGUGGAACUCCGAGUGUAGAGGUGAAAUUCGUAGAUAUUCGGAAGAACACCAGUGGCGAAGGCGACUCACUGGCCCGUUACUGACGCUGAGGCUCGAAAGCGUGGGGAGCAAACAGGG
rnacentral:rRNA from 1 species